rnacentral:tRNA from 1 species
GGUUGGGUACAACUCAGUGGCAGAGCGCAUGCUUAGCAUGCAUGAGGUCCUGGGUUCAAUCCUCAGCACCUCCA